rnacentral:rRNA from 1 species
GUUGACCUCGGAUCAGGUAGGAAUACCCGCUGAACUUAAGCAUAUCAAUAAGCGGAGGAAAAGAAACCAACAGGGAUUGCCCCAGUAACGGCGAGUGAAGCGGCAACAGCUCAAAUUUGAAAUCUGGCCCCCGGGUCCGAGUUGUAAUUUGUAGAGGAUGCUUUUGGCGAGGUGCCUUCCGAGUUCCCUGGAACGGGACGCCAUAGAGGGUGAGAGCCCCGUCUGGUCGGACACCGAGCCUCUGUAAAGCUCCUUCGACGAGUCGAGUAGUUUGGGAAUGUUGCUCAAAAUGGGAGGUAUAUGUCUUCUAAAGCUAAAUAUUGGCCAGAGACCGAUAGCGCACAAGUAGAGUGAUCGAAAGAUGAAAAGCACUUUGAAAAGAGGGUUAAAAAGUACGUGAAAUUGUUGAAAGGGAAGCGCCUAUGACCAGACUUGGGCCCGGUGAAUCACCCAGCGUUCUCGCUGGUGCACUUCGCCGGGCACAGGCCAGCAUCAGUUUGGCGCGGGGGAGAAAGGCUUCGGGAAUGUGGCUCCCCCGGGAGUGUUAUAGCCCGUUGCGCGAUACCCUGCGCUGGACUGAGGUACGCGCAUUCGCAAGGAUGCUGGCGUAAUGGUCAUCAGCGACCCGUCUUGAAACACGGACCAAGGAGUCGUCUUCGUAUGCGAGUGUUCGGGUGUCAAACCCCUACGCGUAAUGAAAGUGAACGCAGGUGAGAGCUUCGGCGCAUCAUCGACCGACCCUGAUGUUCUCGGAUGGAUUUGAGUAAGAGCAUACGGGGCCGGACCCGAAAGAAGGUGAACUAUGCCUGUAUAGGGUGAAGCCAGAGGAAACUCUGGUGGAGGCUCGCAGCGGUUCUGACGUGCGAAUCGAUCGUCAAAUAUGGGCAUGGGGGCGAAAGACUAAUCGAACCCUCUAGUAGCUGGUUUCCGCCGAAGUUUCCCUCAGGAUAGCAGUGUUGAACUCAGUUUUAUGAGGUAAAGCGAA